GCUGGGCCCAGUGGUGUAGGCCUGUAAUCCCAGCUACCUAGGAGACUGAGACAAGAGGUUCGCAAGUUUGAGGCCAGCGUGGGCAACUCACUUAGGGAGAUCCUGUCUCAA
rnacentral:sRNA from 1 species